rnacentral:rRNA from 1 species
AGGGUGCAAGCGUUACUCGGAAUUACUGGGCGUAAAGGGUGCGUAGGUGGUUGUUUAAGUCUGCUGUGAAAGCCCCGGGCUCAACCUGGGAAUGGCAGUGGAUACUGGACAGCUAGAGUGCGGUAGAGGGUAGUGGAAUUCCCGGUGUAGCAGUGAAAUGCGUAGAGAUCGGGAGGAACACCAGUGGCGAAGGCGGCUACCUGGACCAGCACUGACACUGAAGCACGAAAGCGUGGGGAGCAAACAGG